UUAAGGGGGAUUUUUUCUUCUUUUUAAAGGCUGAGGGGGUUGGGCUUCUUUGUUUGUGCUGGCCAGACGACGGAGAAGGCGAUCAUCAGAAAGGAGAAGCACCUGGAAGAGGAGACUGAUGAGGACGAGGAAGUCAUCUACAAAAUUGAAGUUCCAGCGAACAGGCGAAGAACACUGGUUGCAAUUAGGACUCAUGACUUGGAUACGCUAGAAGGCCCCUUCAGCUAUGAGGCUUUGCCGCCUUCCAAGAUAAGUUUCGUCCCCUUGAAGCAGGUGAAGAACUUCAGAGCUGAUGAACUAAUGGAAUUUUAUAAGUCAGAUUUGAAAUUGAAGAAGUUCUUGCACAUAAUAGAGAACUCGCCUGAGUUCCCUGUUAUC